GACGAACCGUGCAAACGUUAUUCGGAAUCACUGGGCAUAAAGGGCGCGUAGGCGGCUCCAAAAGUCAGGGGUGAAAUCCGGCAGCUUAACUGUCGCAGUGCCUUUGAUACUGUGGAGCUAGAGGGAGGUAGGGGUCUGUGGAACUUCCGGUGGAGCGGUGAAAUGCGCAGAUAUCAGGAAGAACACCCGUGGCUAAGGCGGCUCUCUAGUACGGUACUGACGCUGAGACGCGAAAGCGUGGGGAGCGAACAGG
rnacentral:rRNA from 1 species